rnacentral:rRNA from 1 species
AUUGAACGCUGGCGGCAGGCUUAACACAUGCAAGUCGAGCGCGCGGCGGACUUGUGUGUAAUUUCUGGGAAACUUCCUGAUUGCGGGGGAUAACUACUGGAACCGGUAGCUAAUUCCGCAUACCAUCCUCUGUUCCCCGAUGGGAUUAUCUAGUAGGUGGGGUAAUGGCUCACCUAGGCGACGAUCCCUAGCUGGUCUGAGAGGGUGACCGGCCACACUGGAACUGAGACACGGUCCAGACUCCUACGGGAGGCAGCAGUGGGGAAUAUUGCACAAUGGGCGCAAGCCUGAUGCAGCCAUGCCGCGUGUGUGAAGAAGGCCUUCGGGUUGUAAAGCACUUUCAGCGAGGAGGCGGUACUCGAAGAAGAAGCACCGGCUAACUCCGUGCCAGCAGCCGCGGUAAUUG